UGACACACUGGUGACACCUAGGAGGUGAGGGCACACUCUCUGACCUCCCCUCACUGAGGACCUAGGCUCUGACACACUGGGCUGUCACCUGGGAUAUAAGGGCACACUCUCUGACCUUCCCUCAUUGAGGACCUUGGUCCUGACACACUGUGUGUCACCUGGGAACUGAGGGCACACUCUCUGACCACCCCUCACUGAGGACCUUGGUCCUGACACACUGUGUGUCACCUGGGAGG
rnacentral:lncRNA from 1 species